CGCCGCUCUAGGCCCCAGCCAGACUCUCAACUGCAGUUCCGUCAGCGCCCAACAGAUGGAGGGCGGGUCCUGUCUCCGAGUCGCCGGGAACCAUUCAGCAUCUUCUUACGUCGUCCAGUUUGACCUGCAGCCGACAGUCUUGGCGCCCCGGAUCUCAAGGUCAGUGCCGUGAGUGUCACCUGCUCGGUGCCUGGCAGGUGUCUGGUGCUCAGCAGCUGUGCACCAUCUGCCCAGCAGGAGAGAAGGACAGGACAGACACAUCCCAGUGAGGUGGCGUGGCCCAUCACAUCAUGGAGAAUCAGAGAAAGACUGCUUGUGGCCAGCCAGCCUGGGGAGAGGUGGAGACGAGUCCACUGUGUGCAGAGGGGUCAUGGAAGCUGUCGCGUCAGGAGCAUUCUAGACCCCGGUGUCCUUGAGAUGUUGGCUUGAAGAAAGGCGAGGUAACAUCGGAGAGCAGCCCCGUGUCGUGACCUCCUGCCCUGUGACCUCCCCAUCACGCUGGGGGUGCUGCCUUGGAAGACGCCUCAGGGAUGGGAGCACUGGCCUCUCAGGAUGGUGAGCUGGGUCCCAGCUCUGCUGGAGGAACCUUCUCAUGGUUGUUUUGGGUCUGAUCACAGACGAUGGCGUAGCAGACUGAAGAGGGGUGUUGCUGCAUGACCACCGCCAGACCUUCUUCUCCUGUUGCCUCAGCACAGUAUGGAAGGACUCGGCCCCGUGUGACCAGGUCAGGGGCCUGGGAAAGGCCUGGGACUCUGGGGCCCUGGGAUUCACAGCUGGAGACCUUCAGCUGGUUCUGCCCCUCCCCAGCAGGUGCCACAGGGCACGGCAGACCCAGAAGACUGGUUUCCUUCCAUCUGGACCAGGCCCUCCAGUGGCCUCCAUGUCCCCCUCUCUGUUCCUGGUGUAACUUUUAGAACCAGGGGUUCCUGUUGGAGGCGUCUGUGCUGGGCAUCUUGUCCUCUCACCCACUUCAAUAAAUCAUGAAACUGC